rnacentral:lncRNA from 1 species
CGAACGGAUUUCUUUCUUUCCGGUAGCUUCAUUUUGGGAGCCAUUAGGUUAAGAGAGACUUGAAAGAAACUUGGGAGACUAAAUGUGAGGUAGAGAGGAAAGGAUUUUAGAAGGAAAAAAGCAAAGAUUUGGGGAGUUAAAUCAUCGAUUUGGAGAAAAGGGGAUGAUUCUAGGGCAAGCUCGAACCACCCCAAAUGAGGAAGAAAGAGAAGAAGAAGUUAGUUCCUAAACGGACGAUUUGAAGGGUGAAAAUUGGUGGGAUGAGAGAUUCGAGAGAAAACUUCGGUUUGAGGAAGAAGAGAGGGAGAGCUUUUAGUUCGGUGGGAGGAAGA